AAUUGCUUGAGCCUGAGAGGCAGAGGCUGCAGUGAGCUGAGAUCGCGCCACUGCACUCCAGCCCGGGCAACAGAGUGAGACUGUCUCAAAAAAAAAAAAAAAAAGAAAUUCCAAAGGUGGCCAGCAUGGUGGCUCAUGCCUGUAAUUCCAGUACUUUGAGGCCGAGGUGGGAGGAAUGCUUGAGCCCCCAGUCUGGGCAAUAUAGUGAGACCCCAUCUCUGCAAAAAAAGAAGUUCCAGAGGCCCAGACUUGCUACUGGUGCCCAGGGGGCUGUGGGGCAGCUUGGGCAUUGAGCCCUCAUGCUGUGGGAUCUGAUGCUGUCUCUAGGUAGAUAGUGUUGGAAUUGAAUUGGAG
rnacentral:lncRNA from 1 species